rnacentral:lncRNA from 1 species
CCACAAAUUCACGAGAUAUUCACAAAGAGAUUAACGAUCUUCAAAGUCCCAAUAAAUUCAUGGGAUAUUUAUAGAUCAAAACUCUUCCUACAAACCUUCCUUUCAUGGAGAUCAAAUAGAUCAAAUUCAAAUAUUCCUACGUUCAAGAAAUACGCCACUAACGGAAUAUUUCUACGUUCAAGAAAUACGCCACUAAUGAUUACAUCAAGAAGAUCAAAUUCAAAUAUUCCUACGUUUAAGAAAUACGCCACUAACGGUUACAUCAAGAAGACAAACCCUACAAUCCAAGCCACUAACGGCUCUUGAAUUACGAAGAAAUCCAAGACAAAACGACCCUUGAAUUACAGAAAAAUUCAUAUCAAAUCCUACGUUUGAGAAAUACGUUAUUAACAACCCUCAAAUUAUAGAGAAAAUCAAGAGAGGAGAAUUAAGGGAGGAACAGAUUUAUAUUCACAAUUAUUUAUCAAUAAAAUUCUUGUUUCUUCAUAUUUUUAUUUUUGAUUGAAGUUUAAUUUUCAUGAAUUAAAUUAUGUUGAAAACAAAUUAGCAUGCCCAGUGGGACCAAAUUUGUCCUUCAUCUCUUUUCUCAUAAAUCAUAUCUGCAAAUUUGUAGUCGCAUCAAGAUGGAAGCUCUAUGGGUACUUCAAGACUCGUCAUCAAGUCUACACUUCGACAAUCGUCAUCAAAUCUGACAUCUAAAAAAAUUUGAGGGACUACAAAAUUUGUGGGACUGUACAAAAAGAAUCCAAAUUCUGUUAGAGUUCUUAGAGUCUAAUUUACCCUAAACCCUGAAUUAUGCCUAUAUAAAGGGCAAAUAUUCCAUUAAGGAGGCAUCUCCAGUAUCCCAUAAAUUCACAGGAUAUUCACAAAGAGAUCAAUGAUCUUUAAAGUCCCAAUAAAUUCAUGGGAUAUUUACAGAUCAAAACCCUUCCUUCUUGAUAAUCAAAUACAGACAAAUCCUCCUUUCAUGAAGAUCAAAUCCAAAUGUUCUUACGUUCAAGAAAUACGUCACUAACCUCAAAUUACGAAGAUCAAAUCCAAAUGUUCUUACGUUCAAGAAAUACGUCACUAACCUCAAAUUACGAAGAAACCUACGUUCAAGAGAUACGUCACUAACCUCAAAUUACGGAGAAAAUCAAGAGAGAACAACUAGGAGAGGAAUAGAUUUGUACCCACAAUCGUUUAUCAAUAAACUUCUUGAUUCUUCAUAUUUUUA